ensembl:lncRNA
GGAAGGGUGUGAAAGAUGGCGGAAGUGGAUGCUGAGUUCUAAUGAAGCAGCGCUUCAAGUAAAUUCAAUUGUGUGAUUCAUUCAAUUGUGUGAUUGCCAAUAUACCAUAGAAGAAGAAGAAGAAAAUUGUAUGUGACAGCAGAGAUGAGGCGCGCUCUGUCCACCACGCCUCCCAUCUCAUUAGUGGUAGUGAGAUAAGACACAUUAUGUCAAACUAAUUUGCAAUUGACUGUCAUAGACGAGGGAUGCAAUGUCGGAAGCAUUGUGCGAUUCUCUUGGCGCGAGUACAGUUGGUGAGAAUGAGUGGACGAUGGUGAAGAAGAGUGGAGUAAAGUUGAAAAUGAACAGCAGUUUAUGGUUGGAGUGAGAUUCACGAUUCACGUUUUUUUGGGUGACCCGUUUGCGGUCUCGAAGAUGGUGAAGGACGAAUUGGGUAAAGUGGAAUCGGUCAGAGUGACCAGGAUCGGUAUGAUGUUGAUUUCGUGUGUGCCAAAAGAGCAAAAGGAGAAAGAUCUGUGUCUUUACAAGAUUGCGACGUAUGAUGUGGAAAGCUAUGAUUUUCAGAGUAGAGCACUGGUUAAAGAUGUCAUCUCUGGUGCCUCGUUGGACAAAGAGUGUGUGGUUUAGGGAUAACAUUCCAGGAGUGGUAGACGCACGUCACUUGAAUCAAAUGAUAGAUCGGAAAGAAGGAGCUAAAGCCUAUCGGUUUUACUGUCGUUUGACGAAGUGGUUCUCCCAACUUAUGUAAAACUUGGGUAUGUGAGAUAUGUGGUGAGACCGUUUGUACAGUGUUACAAUUGUAAAAGGUUUGGACACAUGGCAAGGGUUUUUCGAAUGAAUAAAUAUGUCGUAGUUGAAGAGUCCGAUGAAACACGUUGUUGUGAUGGGAAUCACAAAUCCAAAUUCCCUGAUUUCCCUGUAAGGAUGAAGGAGGUCGCAGUAGUUAGGAUUAGGGCCAUCCAGCAAGUCUGCUAUGUGGAGGCAGUGAAAAUAGCUGAAGGAGUGAGUAGAGAGGAGAUGGUAGUGGAUGUCCCACAGUCUGCAGUGAAUGCCAAGCAGGAGAAGGAUCCCGACACACUAAUAGUGAAGAAGGUGGACUUUAUCAAUUGCACCAGUCAAACUAAUACAAAAUCAAAGAAACUAGAUGUCAUUGUGAAGGCGGAAAAUAGAUUUCUGGAUCUCCAGGACUUUACAGCCGAAACGUUACAGGGAGUACUGAGUGGAGAGGUUCCCCCCUCCCAUGUUCCCAAGCCUGUGUAGGGAUCUGAUUUCAAUCCUGCUGAAGGAGUACAGUGUUUUUUUAUUCAGGGUAUUAGUGUGAAUUUUGUGAAUUUGGUUAGUGUUUUUGGUAAUUAGUAUGAAUUUGUUCAUCCAAAACAUAUUUCGUUUUUGGGGUAUUUUUUACUACCCCGUACAGUAGGUGGCGGCAAUACACCUUAUGAGUGUAGUCUGCCAAUAAGACUCAAAGAAGAAAAAGACAGUCAUAGCCCCACAUUAAAAGUAUGUGAUGGUGAGUUGAGAAAUCAACCAGAAAUACUGUUAGAAUGUUUUCAAUCGACUGCUACAGCCCCAAAUAAAAACGUUAACUUUGGCUUUUAAUUACUUAAUUUUUUUCCCGCAAGGUUGGGGUCAAGAGGAUUUUCAGAUAUCAAAAUUGGGUCGUGGGCCAAAAAAGAUAGGGAACCCCUGCUCUAUGAUAAGGAUCUGAUAUUGUGAUUUGAUAGUAGAGGCGAGCUGAGUCAUAGUGUCUAGAAUUAGGAUCCAAAAGAAAUAUACAUUGAUAAUAAACAAGAGGUUAUUCAAGAGUUUGAAAGCAGUUUCAUCAUAUAAGAGACAAUGACAGUCACACACAGUAUUUUCCGCCAGUCCACCUAUUAUGCCAUCAUUCAUUGACUUGGAUGAUGCCUGUUCUAUUCAUUCUAUUUCUGUGGCAGCACAUGCAGUCAGGAGCAGAGGAGAGGAGAAAAGAAAUAAUACUCACCGCAUGCUCCGGAUAAAUGGAUGGGACAGCGUCUGUCUUCAGCUUCAGCCAUCGGUGAUGACCCAGCGUAACUUGUAAUGCAUUUGAAAAGCUGUCGCUGUCAAAGUGAGCAGCGCAAAUCCUGGGAUUUGACGGUUAUCCGGGGCUGUGAAGCUACACUCUUACUGUCCACAGAAAGGGGCUGAGGGGCAGUUUGUUGUAGUUGCACACCUUUUUGGUGCCCACUGAUAACUCUGCCAUGGUUUAAUUUUCCUCAAGUCUCUCCUCAGCGAGCACACUGUAUGGCUGCCUUCAGCAGGGGGAGGUAGUCUGGUGUUUGUCCAGGUCCUUGAACUGCCUCUGUGGAGGACAAGGUGCUGGGAGGACAGCGGUCACCAAGAAGACACACCAGCGGACGUACUACUUGCGGCAGCUUAAAAAACUCAAUCUCCCAGUCAAUCCUGAUCCCGUUUUAUGCAUCAAUCAUUGAGUCCAUCCUCACCUCCUCCAUCACCGUUUGGGUCUGUGUCUGCCAACUGCAAGGGCAAACUGCAAUGCAAUUUCCAUCAGCUGCCUCAUGGCCUCCAUCGAGGUCCUGCACGACUCCAGGGCAAGGAACCGUGUAGGAAAGAUCAUCGCUGACCCCUCUCACCCCAG